rnacentral:rRNA from 1 species
UUGACCUCGGAUCAGGUAGGAAUACCCGCUGAACUUAAGCAUAUCAAUAAGCGGAGGAAAAGAAACCAACAGGGAUUGCCCUAGUAACGGCGAGUGAAGCGGCAACAGCUCAAAUUUGAAAUCUGGCGCAAGCCCGAGUUGUAAUUUGCAGAGGAUGCUUCUGGGCAGCGGCCGUUCUAAGUUCCUUGGAACAGGACGUCAUAGAGGGUGAGAAUCCCGUAUGUGACCGGCGCGCACCCUCCACGUAGCUCCUUCGACGAGUCGAGUUGUUUGGGAAUGCAGCUCUAAAUGGGAGGUAAAUUUCUUCUAAAGCUAAAUACCGGCCAGAGACCGAUAGCGCACAAGUAGAGUGAUCGAAAGAUGAAAAGCACUUUGGAAAGAGAGUUAAAAAGCACGUGAAAUUGUUGAAAGGGAAGCGCUUGCAACCAGACUUCGCGGCGGUGUUCCGCCGGUCUUUUGACCGGUCUACUCGCCGCCGCGAGGCCAACAUCGUCUGGGGCCGCCGGAUAAGACCAUGGGAAUGUGGCUCCCUCGGGAGUGUUAUAGCCCACGGUGAUGCGGCGUGUCCCGGGCGAGGUCCGCGCUUCGGCAAGGAUGUUGGCGUAAUGGUUGCCAGCGGCCCGUCUUGAAACACGGACCAAGGAGUCUAACAUCUAUGCGAGUGUUCGGGUGUCAAACCCCUACGCGUAAUGAAAGUGAACGGAGGUGGGAGCUUCGGCGCACCAUCGACCGAUCCUGAUGUCCUCGGAUGGAUUUGAGUAAGAGCAUAGCUGUUGGGACCCGAAAGAUGGUGAACUAUGCCUGAAUAGGGUGAAGCCAGAGGAAACUCUGGUGGAGGCUCGCAGCGGUUCUGACGUGCAAAUCGAUCGUCAAAUUUGGGUAUAGGGGCGAAAGACUAAUCGAACCAUCUAGUAGCUGGU